rnacentral:rRNA from 1 species
CCUACGGGUGGCAGCAGUGGGGAAUAUUGCACAAUGGGGGGAACCCUGAUGCAGCGACGCCGCGUGGGUGAAGGAGUGCUUCGGCAUGUAAAGCCCUAUCGGCAGGGAAGAAGCAAGCAGGUACCUGACUAAGAGGCCCCGGCUAACUACGGGCCAGCAGCCGCGGUUAUACGGAGGGGGCCAGCGUUAUCCGGAUUCAGUGGGCGUAAAGGGAGCGUAGACGGCCAUGUAAGCCAGGGGUGAAAGCCCCGGGCCCAACCCGGGGACUGCCCUUGGAACUGCAUGGCUGGAGUGCGGGAGGGGCAGGCGGAAUUCCGGGUGUAGCGGUGAAAUGCGUAGAUAUCAGGAGGAAGACCGGCGGCGAAGGCGGCCUGCUGGACCGCGACUGACGUUGAGGCUCGAAAGCGUGGGGAGCGAACAGGAUUAGAUACCCUGGUAGUC